UGAGGAAUAUUGGUCAAUGGGUGCAAGCCUGAACCAGCCAUCCCGCGUGAAGGACGACUGCCCUAUGGGUUGUAAACUUCUUUUGUAUAGGGAUAAACCUUUCCACGUGUGGAAAGCUGAAGGUACUAUACGAAUAAGCACCGGCUAACUCCGUG
rnacentral:rRNA from 2 species